UAGUAAAACUCUAAAUACACAUGUAAUUAAUUCGGGUGUGUUCUAAGACAGAUGGUAUAAAAGAGAAAGUCUAUACCUAUGAGGGAAAAGGGAGAACGUAAAUAAAAACCACAUUCUUGUUCAAUCAGAUUAUAGCUGAUCUCCUAUUCCCCAACUUUUUUGUUCUGCUUUGCUUUUUAGGGCCACAGGUACAGCAUAUGGAAGUUCCCAGGGUAGGGGUCCAAUUGGAGCUACAGCUGCCAGCUUACACCACAGCCACAGCAACACCAGAUCUGAGCAACGUCUGCAACCUACACCACAGAUCACCCAACACCAUAUCCUUAACCCACUGAGUAAAGCAAUGGAUGGAAUUCACAUCCUCAUGGAUACUAGUCAGUUUCUUAACCCACUGAGCCACAAAGAGAACUCCUCCUCAGCUUCUUUAUCCCCAGGAUCUGAACAUCAUGGGCAUGGAUAAAGAAGAUACACUUCCUUCUCUGGUUAAUUCCUCCAGUCUGGAUUCUGAGAGGGAAAUCCUAAUGAAGAAACCAGACAGGUGCAUUUAUUGGCCCCCAAAUGAAUGCACACAGUGGUCCCAGCAUGGACACCAAACAAUGCUGACUCACCCUCAGGGCAGCAGUUGGAAUCUAUCUCAAAGGCUUCUGCUCACUACUUCCUCACAAGGCAGGGCUUUGAGGUUGUCAGAAAAAACUAGCAACCUGUAUUUGUGAAUCCAAACCAGCUUUACAAAUUGUAUCAUAAGAAUUCAACAAUAAUUGUAACCUAGCACACUCUGCAAACCAGAAAAAGCUUGUCAACAGGGAGAACUAAGCAGUCACAAAUGCCCAUCUAAGGGAGGAAGGAGCUCUCAGAGGGGCCACCUGAACUACCAGAAAUAAACAAGCUGUGUAUUAAAAAUAGAUAUUUGGGCUCCACUGCAGACCUCCCAUAAUGAGGAAAAAGAGUGUUAACUCAACUGAAAAAAACCUCAAACAUUUCGAAUACCCAGCUGAGUUCAGGCCCUACCACAUCAAAUGACCUGCCAAAGGUCCCCUCUCUAAGGCUCCCUGCCACUCUGCCUGAGAGCCAGCAAGUCUAGAGAGGGAUAGGCCUCAGCACUCAGGGCCCACUGGAGUGAUGGCCACCAAACCCACAGCUGCUCUGGCCUCCCGCUGUGUGUGGGGCCAGGAGGACAGUCUCUAGGGGGUCUUCUCUGUGGGCAGCUGGGCAGAGGUGAUCCUCACCACCCCCCACCCUCCAAGCACCCAAAGAAUCUGCACCCCAGAGCAUCAGGUGGGCCUCCCCAUUUAAGGAAAACUCAACCAGUCUUUGGAACAAACAAUUUUGUUGCUGUAGCCCCUUCCCCACAUGUAUAUUGCUGUACAGUGCUGGCUCUAUGGUCACGCAGGUUUAUCGGCUUGUCACACAGGGGAGCUCAGGGGCUUUUUCUUUCUUCUUUCUUUUUUUCUUUUUUUUUUUCUUUUCUUUUUAGGGCGGUACCUGCAGCAUAUGGAAGUUUCCAGGCUAGGUAUCAGAGCUAGUAUCAGAGCUGCAGAUAUCAGGCUAUAUCAGAGCUGCAGCUGCCAGCCAUGACAACAAAGGAUCAAAACCACGUCUGUGACCUAUACCACAGCUCACGGCAACACUGGAUACUUAACCCACUGAGCGAGGCCAGGGAUCGAACCCAAAUUCUCAUGGGUACUGGCUGGGUUCGUUACCACUGAGCCACAACAGGAACUCC
rnacentral:lncRNA from 1 species